UACGUAGGGUGCAAGCGUUAUCCGGAAUUAUUGGGCGUAAAGAGCUCGUAGGCGGUUUGUCGCGUCUGCUGUGAAAACUGGAGGCUCAACCUCCAGCCUGCAGUGGGUACGGGCAGACUAGAGUGCGGUAGGGGAGAUUGGAACUCCUGGUGUAGCGGUGGAAUGCGCAGAUAUCAGGAAGAACACCGAUGGCGAAGGCAGAUCUCUGGGCCGUAACUGACGCUGGAGGAGCGAAAGCCAUGGGGAGCGAACAGG
rnacentral:rRNA from 1 species